rnacentral:lncRNA from 1 species
AUUCUUUUGCAGUACAACCUAUUCAAAUAUAUGCUCCCAAACAUUUCCAUAUACCGUACAUGAAACAAAUAAUCCCAUUACAUCAAAACUUGCAAAUCACAUUUGCAAUUAAUAUUAAAAAAUCUUGUAUAUUUAAAAAUUUCGGCCAAAAAACAAAGGCAUUUGUCUCCACAAACCACAAUCCAACUUUCUUUAUAACAAACCCCAAUAAAAUGUAUGAUUAUUUAAAAAAUACUGACUACUAAUAGCAGCUCAUUGGCUAGUGAAGACACUCAUGACCUUCGCCUCAUGCCCUCGCGAAAUAGUGGUAUGUUGACGUAUAGGUAGGCAAAUGAGCCGACGAGCCAAUAUUUAAGCGGCAACCUGCAUUAAUCAUAUAGUUAAUUACAUAAUAAAUUCAGGCAUUGCCGAAUCAAGAAUAUAUCCAAUCAGUUCAUGUCCAAAAUGAAUCCCAAAAGACUUACCUUCCCAAUCAUCAGCACCCAUAAGACAUUCUGAAACUAAUUAAAGACAUCCUUGUCGUGAUCAUAUGGCUUGUUGUAACGCCCCGGGAUUUCGUCCUCGUUCAUCCUGAUGCGUCGAGCACCAUACCGCUCGCUAAGGUCAAUAUUCU